rnacentral:tRNA from 1 species
AUUUAAAUAGCUUAUAUAGUUAGAGUAUAAUAUUGAAGAUAUUAAGGAGAUUAUAAAAAUCUUUAAAUA